UCCUAUGGGCAUGCCACCCUGAACAAACCCGAUCCUGUCUAAUCUUGGAAGCUAAGUAGGGUCAGGCCUCGUUAGUACUUGGGUGGGAGACCACCUAGGAAUACCAGGUGCUGUAGGUG
rfam:Pteropus alecto contig88882, whole genome shotgun sequence.